UUGAAUUCAGGAAGUAGGACUUCGGAAACAGAGCCCUUAACCACCAGGCAACGGCCAGUCGUGGCCCAGGCUACGGUCUGGUAAGUCCGAGGCUGUUCCUUGCUGGGGCAAGAGUCCCAAUUAAGCUUAUCAACGCUUCUUCCCUGGGUAGGAGCUCAGGUGAACCCCCCCAUCUCGGUUCUCUGAUUUGUGAACAACCUUUGCAGACUCGGCAUCAAGCGUCCUUGUGUUUGCAGCUGCUGGGGCUUAUCCUGUGGCCAUGAGAGAAAGCCCAGGAGCACCGUGGGGCUGCAGAUCCACAGCCGUGACACAGUGAACUGACCUUGCUUCAUGGGGAAAACAAAUUCCCUUCAACCAGGUCACUUUUCGUCUGCCUGUCUGUUUUUUUGCCGACAGAAAUCUUACCUGGUACAGAUGGGGAAGCCCAUUUUCGUGCAGAAACGUAUUGCUUGGUUUGCUCUGUGGCAAAUGAAAUGACUGUUGAUCUAUUACCACCACUAGCUGCCCCUAACGGCAUCAGUGACAUUCAUGAUGCACUAGGAAAUUCCAGGAGAUGAGAGCUUGCUUCUGGCUUCCAUUCCCCACAUUUCCAGGCACCCAUCUCUCACCUUGUUAGUCAAUGUCCUCUUUUUUGCUAAAUCCAUUGUGUGCUGUUUGACCUUGAUCCGACUGGCCUUCCAGGAAGUAUUUUGUGUCCUCCUUGAACUGUCUCCUCCCUUGGCUUCUGGGAUGUCAGAUUCUCCUUGGUGUCCUUUGGGCUGUGUUUGCUUCUGGUGGGCUCUUCUGCUGCCGACCAGAAGUGGUCUGUGCCUCUCUCUUCUCAUUGCCCCCCCAAUUCCUCUGGUGAGUGGGAGCAUCCAACCAACAUGGCCUUCUUCACUUCCCUGGUUUUAAAAAUGACACAUGGAGCAGCAGCUACCACAUCUGGCCACGAAGAUGGCAAGAAGACACCCAAGAAGCAGGCCAAGGAGAUGGACAAAGAUAAGGCAUUCAAGCAGAAACAGAAAGAUGAGCAAAGCAUACCCAAGGAGCUAAAAGCGAAGGCCAAGGGGACAGGUCCCCUGGCCACAGGUGGAAUUAAGGCAUCUAGGAAAAGUAAGCUGUUCCUUGUGCCUGAGACUUGGUGAUUCUUGAUUGCAUUCCUGGAUACAUCUGGAUUCCCUGUCACAUCCUCUAUUGCCAUGUAUAGCUAGAAGAAAACGUUGUCUUAGGUUCUGUUGUACAUUUAAGAAUAAACCUU